UGGAGAAUAUUGCGCAAUGGGGGAAACCCUGACGCAGCAACGCCGCGUGCGGGAUGAAGGCCUUCGGGUUGUAAACCGCUUUCAGCAGGGACGAUUAUGACGGUACCUGCAGAAGAAGCCCCGGCUAACUACGUGCC
rnacentral:rRNA from 1 species